CACGGGGACCAGGCAGCCGCUGCGAUGGCAUGACCGUCGCAGAGGAAAGUCCGGACUCCACAGGGCAGGGCGGUGGAUAACAUCCACCCGGCGAAAGCCGCGGGAUAGUGCCACAGAAACCAGACCGCCCUGCUUCGCGCCGCUACACGGCGCUUCGCAGGGCAGUGCCCUGCGUAGCCUUGGCGAAGCAGGGUAAGGGUGAAACGGUGGUGGUAAGAGCCCACCGCUCUUCGGGUGACCGGAGAGGCAAGGUAAACCCCGCCCGGAGCAAGGCCAAGCAGGAGGCGUUCGAGACCGGCCCGGUCGAGCCUCCGGGUAGGCCGCAAGAGCGGCAUGGUGACAUGCCGCCCAGAUGAAUGGCUGCCCACGACAGAAUCCGGCUUAUCGGUUCCCUGUCGG
rnacentral:RNase_P_RNA from 1 species